rnacentral:lncRNA from 1 species
GGGAGAUGGAACCCUGAGCAGCCCAUGUACAUGGAAGAUCUUUAUUGCAGAGAUCUUCAAACCAGGAAACUGAGGCUAAAGAGUUUAGUAUUCUGCCAAGGCCAGCUAAUAGUUACAGAGCAUGGUUCCAAAUUCAGAGCUGUCGGAAGCUUAAGCCCAUGUGAUGAACCACGAAUGUGAUUUUACCUCAUUUAAGCCUUGCAGCAAACUCUGCCAACUAGUGUGCAUUUACUCCUGCCUCUCCAUGCCUGAAGGAAGGAAUGAAGAGGUCUCUGCUGUCCAUCUGAGCCAGUGACUGGGCUGUCUCUACCAGGCCAGAAUUUGGGGCAGGCAAGAUUUUCAGCAUCCCUAAAAUCACACUAAGAAGAUAAACAUGGAAACAGCUUGGAGCUGCCCUACCCAUAGUGAGGUGGUACUGACUGGA